UCUCCGUAGGUGAACCUGCGGAGGGAUCAUUACCGAGUGAGGGUUCCGGCCCGACCUCCAACCCUUUGUGAAUUCGACCCAGUUGCCUCGGGGGCGACCCGGCCUUCGGGCGUCGGGGCCCCCGGAGGACUUCCAACCCUGCAUCAUUGCGUCGGAGUAUUUUUUGUAAAUCUAAACAAAACUUUCAACAACGGAUCUCUUGGUUCUGGCAUCGAUGAAGAACGCAGC
rnacentral:misc_RNA from 1 species